AAGCUCGUAGUUGGAUUUCUGCUGGAAGCAGCCAGUCCGCCCUCAGGGGUGUGCACUUGGUGAAUUCUAGCAUCCUUCUGGAUUUCUCCACACUUCGUUGUGUGGAGUUUUUUCCAGGACUUUUACUUUGAGAAAAUUAGAGUGUUUCAAGCAGGCUUGUCGCCUUGAAUACUGCAGCAUGGAAUAAUAAGAUAGGAUUUCGGCCCUAUUUUGUUGGUUUCUAGGACUGAAGUAAUGGUUAAUAGGGACGGUUGGGGGCAUUCGUAUUUAACUGUCAGAGGUGAAAUUCUUAGAUUUGUUAAAGACGAACUACUGCGAAAGCAUUUGCCAAAGAUGUUUUCAUUAAUCAAGAACGAAAGUUAGGGGCUCGAAGACAAUCAGAUACCGUCGUAGUCUUAACCAUAAACUAUGCCGACUAGAGAUAGGAAAACGUCAUGCUUGACUUCUCCUGCAC
rnacentral:rRNA from 1 species